CCUACGGGAGGCAGCAGUGGGGAAUAUUGGACAGUGGGCGAAAGCCUGAUCCAGCAAUGCCGCGUGAGUGAUGAAGGCCUUAGGGUUGUAAAGCUCUUUUACCAGGGAUGAUAAUGACAGUACCUGGAGAAUAAGCUCCGGCUAACUCCGUGCCAGCAGCCGCGGUAAU
rnacentral:rRNA from 1 species